AAUGAAGGAAGGAAGGAAGGAAGGAAGGAAAGAGGAAAGGAAUGAAUGAAAAAAGAAAGGAAGAAAAGGUGAACUACAAAUGAUACUUCUUAGUUUCAUAAGCCUUUUCUUCCUCCGUGUUUAGUUAUCACACUUUUCUUUCUCUUUCUCUCCCUUUCUCUUUCCCUCUCUCUCUUUCUUUCUUCUUUCUCC